GCCUGUUUUACAAAAACAUGUCUGUGUGAAAGAUAAAUACAGUUUAACCUGCUCACUGAGUUUAUUUAAAGAGCCGCAGUAUAUUGACUGUGCGAAGGUAGCAUAAUAGAUUGUCCUUUAAUUGGGGGCUUGAAUGAACGGUUGGACAAAGUAUCAUCUGUUUCUUAAGUAUAAAUGAAUUUUACUUUUAAGUGAAAAGGCUUAAAUAAACUAAAAAGACGAUAAGACCCUAUAAAUCUUUACAUAAGUUUAUAUCUUAAAUUCUAAAUUAUAUAUAAGAAGAGUAUAAGAAAAUAAUUAUGUUUUGCUGGGGCGGCAUAGAUAUAUUUUAAAACUGUUUAUAAGUUAUAUUCAAUUAUUAUUGUGUAAAUUGAUCCUUUUAGAGAUUAAAAGACUAAGAUACUUUAGGGAUAACAGCGUUAUUUUUUCUGAGAGUUCAUAUCGAAGAGAAAGUUUGCGACCUCGAUGUUGAAUUAAGGUUUCUUUAUGGUGCAGCAGCUGUAUAAGAAGGUCUGUUCGACCUUUAAUUCCUUACAUGAUUUGAGUUCAGACCGGCGUGAGCCA
rnacentral:rRNA from 1 species